AAUAACAUUACCUGAACGUUUCCUCUCACCUGUAGGGCUGACUGAAGUUGGCUUGACACUGGCUGAUGUUUCCUCCGAUGAACACCGGCGCCAUCAGCAGCACAGGAAUCAGACUGCAAACAGGUGUCACCACUUCAUCCACAACAUCGUCCACGAUCGCUGAGACGUCGUCCACGAUCGCAGAGACAUGGUCCACGAUCAGAGAGACAUUGUUGAGGAUGAGGGAGACAUCGUCCACGAUCAGAGACAUUGUCCACGAUCAGAGAGAGUCUUUGUACAAUGAAGAAGUUCUUUGAGACCAGGACAGAGGCCUCCAGGAUUCAAACUUUAACCAUGAAAUCACCGAGAGAAGAGACAGACGUGAAGACAUUUCCAGAAGGUCUUCAGCUGCUGUCGUCUUCUCCUCCUGCAGAGACAAGAACACGUCUAUUUUUCUUUUCCAAAACUCUCCUUAUUCAUUUUUGUUACCUAAUUACAAUGAUUCAAACAAACCUUUUUACAACUCAGUCAGUAUCAAAUAUUCUAGUCUGUUUUACUAUUGUUACAUUCACAGUAAUGACUAGAAAUACUUCUGAAACUGUUUGUAAAAUAAGAACCUACUGUAAUUAUUACAUAGUUAUUUCUCAGUGAUAAACAUGAAUCAUGAAAUAGACAAAUAGAUAGAGACAGUUUUUACCUUUCCUAAUAUUUCUUCUACUGUUAUUCUACUGAAAUGAAUUUGCUACGUCAUUUCGGUAGACUGCUACAACAGACGACUAUACUAUGACAUUUUUGACCAUUUUUGAUGCCUUACUACACUAUGAUGUUUUCUAUUGCCUUACUAUACUAUGACAUGUGGCUUAAGACAAAGGAACUAUCUUAAAACAGGCCCCUUACCUUUGUUCUCCGCAGACACACAUAUUCAAUCACUCACAUCUCUAUACAGUGUUUGUGGGCAAGGUAAGAUUUUGUUUUUGUCAUUUGAUUUUGCUAUUUUAUUAUUUCAAACUGUGCAAUAUCAGUACUCAGAGUCAGUCUAUUACUAUGUUACGUAGUGCUGUUUAUACUGCUCAUAUUGUUUAUCAUUUUUAUUAUUAUUGUCAGUCAUUUUUCUUCAGUCAUCUUGUUUAUAUCAUGCCUUUCACUGUGGGACUAAUAAAGGAUUAUCUUACUCAAAUAAAGACUUCUGAACUCUGAUUAUUUCACCUGUCUGUUAAAUAUUGUAUGAAAGUGAAUAAUUUUAGCUAGAGGUUAGGGUUAGGUUUAUGGCUUUUAACCAUUUGUAGCUGGAGGUUAGAGUUACAAUUAUUUUAACCACUGGGUUACAGUAACAGGUUAAAGUAACAGAAAACACAACCCUAACCCUGACCCUAACCCCUAACCCUAACCCUAACCCUAAC